rnacentral:lncRNA from 1 species
UUUCUUUUGCUCAUGAGCCUCCUGCCCAAGAUACUCCACAAGCUCCUCCAAGAACAGAAACACCUCCUCCAGCCCAGGAAAAAGAAACACCUCCUCCAGCGCCGGAGAAAGAAAAACCUCCUCCAGCCCCGGAGAAAGAAAAACCUCCUCCAACCCAAGAGAAAGAAACACCUUCUGGAGAAACCACCAUUAAUACAAAUGUCGAAAUCACCUUUAAAGGAUCCUUUACAAAGGUUUAUGCAUUUGGAGACUCAUAUACAGAUACUGG